rnacentral:rRNA from 1 species
GAUGAACGCUGGCGGCGUGCCUAAUACAUGCAAGUCGAGCGAACGGACGAGAAGCUUGCUUUUCUGAUGUUAGCGGCGGACGGGUGAGUAACACGUGGAUAACCUACCAUAAGACUGGGAUAACUUCGGGAAACCGGAGCUAAUACCGGAUAAUAUUUUGAACCGCAUGGUUCAAAAGUGAAAGACGGUCUUGCUGUCACUUAUAGAUGGAUCCGCGCUGCAUUAGCUAGUUGGUAAGGUAACGGCUUACCAAGGCAACGAUGCAUAGCCGACCUGAGAGGGUGAUCGGCCACACUGGAACUGAGACACGGUCCAGACUCCUACGGGAGGCAGCAGUAGGGAAUCUUCCGCAAUGGGCGAAAGCCUGACGGAGCAACGCCGCGUGAGUGAUGAAGGUCUUCGGAUCGUAAAACUCUGUUAUUAGGGAAGAACAUAUGUGUAAGUAACUGUGCACAUCUUGACGGUACCUAAUCAGAAAGCCACGGCUAACUACGUG